rnacentral:rRNA from 1 species
AGAGUUUGAUCCUGGCUCAGAACGAACGCUGGCGGCAUGCCUAACACAUGCAAGUCGAACGAGAUCUUCGGGUCUAGUGGCGCACGGGUGCGUAACGCGUGGGAAUCUGCCCCUUGGUUCGGAAUAACCGUUGGAAACGACGGCUAAUACCGGAUGACGACGUAAGUCCAAAGAUUUAUCGCCGAGGGAUGAGCCCGCGUAGGAUUAGCUAGUUGGUGUGGUAAAGGCGCACCAAGGCGACGAUCCUUAGCUGGUCUGAGAGGAUGAUCAGCCACACUGGGACUGAGACACGGCCCAGACUCCUACGGGAGGCAGCAGUGGGGAAUAUUGGACAAUGGGCGCAAGCCUGAUCCAGCAAUGCCGCGUGAGUGAUGAAGGCCUUAGGGUUGUAAAGCUCUUUUACCCGGGAU